rnacentral:lncRNA from 1 species
GCAGGCUUCCCGUCUGCCCGUGGGCCCCCCCAGGAAGCCAGUGAGGACCCCGUGGGGAUCAGCUUUCACCCCGGGGAAGGCAGCCUCCGGCUACUCGUCUGUAAUUUGGCAACACAACCCCAAAUAGAUAAGAUACGGCGCUGGCCGCGGACGCUUGCCCGAGACGCAGAACAGUAGCUGGCCUUCGGGACUUUUCCCUCCAAGGCCGAUCUUUUCAGAAGGAAAAACAUGACAAAGCUGUUACUGUCGCGCUCAGCUGGGCAGACCCAUUUAUUUCUAACCUGGUAGGAGGAGCCAAGUAGUGGACAUAGACCUUCACACACUCGCCCACGCCCACAGAGUGUGGGACACAGAAUGCACCCCAGCAAACCAGGGGUUCCAGGUAAUCAAAAUAAGUCUGUGCUGUCACAGCCAAGGCCCCAGGACAAGAGGUGCAGGGACAGCAGCAACAGAGCCACUGGGCAGCUACACAGCAGCACUGGCUGCACCCGUUGCUCUGCAAAUCUAAGACUGCUCCAAAGACAACGGCAAACCUCAGCCCCUUCUCUGCUGAGGUUGCUGUGUGUCCCAAGGGUACUGUCAAUCAUCUUAAAGGUCGAGUUUGGAGACUUCCAUGUGAUGUUUCUGGGGAGAGACUGGGCAUUGGGGUGAUUCUCCAUCUGAGUUACUGACUAAGCAUUUGUAAGUGCUUUUGUUGUUCCUAAGCAGGAGUUGUGCAGCUUGGCCUUGCCCCUGAGCCGAGCAGGGGGGAGUUCUCAGGUAAGCACCCCACACUGAUGCGAAGCUCAGCCUCACAUUUCCUGACCUCCUCAAGCAGCCUCCGCACUUGGCAAGAAUAAAAC